UACGGAGGGUGCAAGCGUUAAUCGGAAUUACUGGGCGUAAAGGGUGCGUAGGCGGUUGUUUAAGUCUGUUGUGAAAUCCCCGGGCUCAACCUGGGAACUGCAUUUGUGACUGCAUGGCUAGAGUGCGGCAGAGGGGGAUGGAAUUCCGCGUGUAGCAGUGAAAUGCGUAGAUAUGCGGAGGAACACCGAUGGCGAAGGCAAUCCCCGGGGCCCGCACUGACGCUCAUGCACGAAAGCGUGGGGAGCAAACAGG
rnacentral:rRNA from 1 species